rnacentral:rRNA from 1 species
AGCGAACGUUAGCGGCGGGCUUAACACAUGCAAGUCGAGCGAGAAAAGGGCUUCGGCCCCCAGUAAAGCGGCGGACGGGUGAGUAAUACAUAGGUAACUUUCCCUUGAGCGGGGGACAACGUUUCGAAAGGAACGCUAAUACCGCAUAAGUUCUUUGAGACUUCGGUCUUGGAGAGGAAAGCUAGGUAGCAAUAUCUGGCACUCGAGGAGAGGCCUGUGUCGCAUCAGCUAGUUGGUGAGGUAAGGCUCACCAAGGCGAAGACGCGUAGCUGGUCUGAGAGGAUGAUCAGCCACACUGGGACUGAGACACGGCCCAGACUCCUACGGGAGGCAGCAGUGGGGAAUAUUGGACAAUGGGCGCAAGCCUGAUCCAGCCACGCCGCGUGAGGGAUGACGGCC